GUGUCAGCCGCCGCGGUAAUACGUAGGGUGCAAGCGUUGUCCGGAAUUAUUGGGCGUAAAGAGCUCGUAGGCGGUCUGUCGCGUCGGCUGUGAAAUCCCGAGGCUCAACCUCGGGUCUGCAGUCGAUACGGGCAAACUGGAGUGUUGCAGGGGAGACUGGAAUUCCUGGUGUAGCGGUGAAAUGCGCAGAUAUCAGGAGGAACACCGGUGGCGAAGGCGGGUCUCUGGGCAACAACUGACGCUGAGGAGCGAAAGCGUGGGGAGCGAACAGGAUUAGAAACCCCCGUAGUCC
rnacentral:rRNA from 1 species